UACAGAGGUGGCGAGCGUUGUUCGGAAUUACUGGGCGUAAAGGGCGCGUAGGCGGACUGUUAAGUCCCGUGUGAAAUCCCUCGGCUCAACCGAGGAACUGCACGGGAAACUGGCGGGCUUGAGUUCGGGAGAGGGAAGCGGAAUUCCGGGUGUAGCGGUGAAAUGCGUAGAGAGCCGGAGGAACACCGGUGGCGAAGGCGGCUUCCUGGACCAACACUGACGCUGAGGCGCGAAAGCUAGGGGAGCAAACGGG
rnacentral:rRNA from 1 species